rnacentral:rRNA from 1 species
GACGAACGCUGGCGGCGUGCUUAACGCAUGCAAGUCGAACGGAAAGGCCCUGCUUUUGUGGGGUGCUCGAGUGGCGAACGGGUGAGUAACACGUGAGUAACCUGCCCUUGACUUUGGGAUAACUUCAGGAAACUGGGGCUAAUACCGGAUAGGAGCUCCUGCUGCAUGGUGGGGGUUGGAAAGUUUCGGCGGUUGGGGAUGGACUCGCGGCUUAUCAGCUUGUUGGUGGGGUAGUGGCUUACCAAGGCUUUGACGGGUAGCCGGCCUGAGAGGGUGACCGGCCACAUUGGGACUGAGAUACGGCCCAGACUCCUACGGGAGGCAGCAGUGGGGAAUAUUGCACAAUAGGCGGAAGCCUGAUGCAGCAACGCCGCGUGCGGGAUGACGGCCUUCGGGUUGUAAACCGCUUUCGCCUGUGACGAAGCGUGAGUGACGGUAAUGGGUAAAGAAGCACCGGCUAACUACGUG